GGACCCCAGAGUCCUCGGGCGGGGCUGCGGACUGAGUGGGGUGUCGUGGCGCGGCGCACUGAGCUGGUUCUGCAGCAGGUGAGCGGUGACCCAGGCCAAUGGCGGUGACCGCGGCCCUCUCUGCUGCAGCGGCGGCGGCGGCCCUGUCUGGCUUGGCCGUGCGACUGUCGCGGUGGGCGGCGACGCGCAGCUCCUACGGUGCCUUCUGCAAGGGGCUCACGCGCACGCUACUCACCUUCUUCGACCUGGCCUGGCGCCUGCGCGUGAACUUCCCCUACUUCUACAUGGUGGCCUCGGUGAUGCUCAACGUCCGCCUGCAGGUGCGGAUCGAGUGAGCAGACGCCCUCCGCCGCAGCGGAGAGGGCCACCCGCGCCUUCCACGCCACCCUGGCGGCCGCAGGAAGGACCGCGGGGCCGCACAGACUGCGGCGGGGGGCGCAGGCGGCACGGCCCGGACCCUCCAUAUUAGGUCUCUGCGGAGGGCCUGAGGAACCGCAUCCCAUACCGCAAAAACCUUCACAGCCCGGUCCUUUUCCUCUGCAUCCAGAGAAUCACCAGAGUCUGCCAAACCUGUUGCCUCCCCCUUGGCGGAAAGCAGAAGAACCCAAAAGAAGGGAUGCUACCACAGGACUUGAUUUACCAGGCCCCAUGCCUGAAGGGUGAGGAGCUUCUUGGAGACUCAGCUCAUCACCAGCACACAGACUGGGAGACCCACCCACCCACCCUGCAGGCAUCCAGUCCCUUUUCAUGCAGAGGACUCAUGAGAUGUCACCUGAACUCCGAAUGGAAGAGGAUUGGGCCAGUGAGCUCCCAGGAAGGCCCUACACAGUAAAGGUUUAUCCAUCCAUCUCUACCUAAGUCAGGCAUCGGUCUUCUGGGUGGUGGCUCAGACCUUCACUGAACAUUCCAACUCCAUCCUAGAGGUGCCACUGUUUCUGGGGAGCAGCUGUGUGAAGAGCCUGCCUAGAAGAAGGGCCUUUCUGGUGAGCCCAGAGGGGUGAGGUGGCUCAGGUCUCCUGGUCCCUCCACAGAAAAGUGUGAACCCUUGGACACUGAUAUCUCCUGGCAACACUGUGAGGCAUAUGCGUUCUCCCACCUCAUGAACUCGAUGGGCUCAAGGGAGGGACUGGGAUUUGCCCUUGUUACACAGAGAAGAGAGCUCAGCCUGCCCCUGACCGUCAAUCCUUCACCCUUUCUGCACUUUCUUCAUGACCUGGCAGGACUCUGGGGUUGGAAAGUUGUGGAGAGCUACCAAGGGAGCUAGGGAGAAAGAGAGGCCAUGAGAUAGGGGAGCUAGGCACCUGCAUUUCCUUGGAGUGGUAUGAAAGACAGGUGAACAGUUGAUUUCAUAAACAGAGGAGGCUCAAGGAUGUUGUAAAAUGUCUAGUCCCCCACCAGAACCAAGCCCCCCACUUCUCUGGUGCUUGACCAAGGGCUCCUGAGCACUUGUGUGCUAGUGGACUGCAGUGAUAACAGCAUUGUGGUUUAUAGGGUCAUGAUGUCACUGGAUAGUUGAGGACAUUUGGGCUGAGACCCAUGGUAUGCCCUGUUUCUCUGUUCCCAGGCUUGCAGCCCAUCCCUGGCAUCACAUGGGCAGUCUCAUCCAGAUAAGAUGGGGACAGCCUGUCCAGGAGGCCCUAUGUAGGCUAGAAGUUGGAUCUCUAAAUGCCCGAGAAUGGCCCAAGGGAUACUUUUACUACAUAUCCCACACUCGCCCAGCUCCUCGGGCACUGGUAUCUCAAGGUCUAUUUAUUCCAUUCUUGAUAAGGAAACCUUCAGCAUACCCACCAGCCCCAGGGACUGAGUGUCCCAACUGCCCACUCAGAGUCAGGAACACAGAUGAAGAUCUCAGUUUGUCUCACCCAAAGGGCACAAACUGAAAGGUGGCUGCCACAUGGCCUCUGCUACUCACCAUAGGGCAGGACGGAUGGCUUCCUUCUCCCGAGUUUCACUAAUAGUCCACGUAUGUGUGUUUGGGUGCAUGUGUGUGCGAGCUUGUAUGGAAAUGUGUGUGAUGGGGGUGGAGCCAUUGGGUAGGGAGAGGAGCUCCUGACAGUCCCCUGUUUUCCAGGUACAGUAAGGAUCACAUGGACUACUGGGAGACUUGAGUGUGAAGUCCGAGGCCCUUUCCUCUUAGACCUCACACUACAGGGAAGCCCGUCCCUGCCCAUGCUCAGGCAUGGGCUAUGGUGUGAGAUCAGAGGCACUGAGACUAGGCUAGACUUUGGGCCCAGUGGUGCCAGCCAGGAGAGGGGCAGAGCUAGGACUCAGCAUUGAGUUCAUGUCCCAUUCUGGCCCUGUUAGUCUGUGAGUUUCUGCUCUUCCUGUCCCCUUGGCUACUUCUGUUCUUCCAUGGUACCCUCGCUGUAUAUCACGGUGCCCUUUAUUUGCAGUCUGUAUUGCAGGCAGUGAGGCUUCAACGAAUUCAGAGAUUAACCCGGAUGACCUUACAUUCCUGUGUUUACAUUUCCAUGUGUGAUGGGUCUCUGCAUGGCCAGCACUGUCCGGUCAGAGAUGUGGUUUCUGAAGUUGUCACAUGUUGCUCUCUCCCAAAGGUCAAAGAAAAUCUGUACACUGAA